CCAACGUGGAUAUUCAGGGAGGUCACUCCCCUUGGGUUCUAUCCAUGUGGCAUAGGGGAGUGCUGGACUCUGCCCCGUGAUGUACAGUCCCUUUCCACAAUGUUGGAGAUAAAGCUGGGCUUUUGUGUCUGUGCCUACGUAUUUCUAUGACUUCUCAGAAUCCUGUGGAUGAUGACCAAGGAGACAAACUAUGCAGGAAAUACAG